rnacentral:rRNA from 1 species
ACUGAGUGAGGGCCCUCUGGGUCCAACCUCCCACCCGUGUUUUAUUGUACCUUGUUGCUUCGGCAGGCCCGCCUCACGGCCGCCGGGGGGCCUCUGCCCCCGGGCCCGCGCCUGCCGAAGACACCCUUGAACGCUGUCUGAAGUUUGCAGUCUGAGCGAAAAGCAAAAUUUAUUUAAAACUUUCAACAACGGAUCUCUUGGUUCCGGCAUCGAUGAAGAACGCAGCGAAAUGCGAUAACUAAUGUGAAUUGCAGAAUUCAGUGAAUCAUCGAGUCUUUGAACGCACAUUGCGCCCCCUGGUAUUCCGGGGGGCAUGCCUGUCCGAGCGUCAUUGCUGCCCUCAAGCACGGCUUGUGUGUUGGGCCUCCGUCCCCCACCCGGGGGACGGGCCCGAAAGGCAGCGGCGGCACCGUGUCCGGUCCUCGAGCGUAUGGGGCUUUGUCACCCGCUCUGUAGGCCCGGCCGGCGCCUGCCGACCCUCAUCAUCCUUUUUUCAGGUUGACCUCGGAUCAGGUAGGGAUACCCGCUGAACUUAAGCAUAUCAAUAAGCGGAGGAAAAGAAACCAACAGGGAUUGCCCCAGUAACGGCGAGUGAAGCGGCAAGAGCUCAAAUUUGAAAGCUGGCUCCUUCGGGGUCCGCAUUGUAAUUUGCAGAGGAUGCUUCGGGAGCGGCCCCCAUCUAAGUGCCCUGGAACGGGCUGUCAUAGAGGGUGAGAAUCCCGUAUGGGAUGGGGUGUCCGCGCCCGUGUGAAGCUCCUUCGACGAGUCGAGUUGUUUGGGAAUGCAGCUCUAAAUGGGUGGUAAAUUUCAUCUAAAGCUAAAUAUUGGCCGGAGACCGAUAGCGCACAAGUAGAGUGAUCGAAAGAUGAAAAGCACUUUGAAAAGAGAGUUAAAAAGCACGUGAAAUUGUUGAAAGGGAAGCGUUUGCGACCAGACUCGCCUACGGGGUUCAGCCUACCUUCGGGUAGGUGUACUUCCCCGUGGGCGGGCCAGCGUCGGUUUGGGCGGCCGGUCAAAGGCCCUCGGAAUGUAACGCCUCUCGGGGCGUCUUAUAGCCGAGGGUGCCAUGCGGCCUGCCCGGACCGAGGAACGC